rfam:Schistosoma haematobium scaffold1575_8, whole genome shotgun sequence.
GCACUGCUGAGGAGUCCCACAAUAGGACGAAACGUGCGCUCAGUGC